rnacentral:rRNA from 1 species
GUGAGGAAUAUUGGUCAAUGGGCGGAAGCCUGAACCAGCCAAGUAGCGUGAGGGAUGACGGCCCUACGGGUUGUAAACCUCUUUUAUGCGGGGAUAAAGUGCGCCACGCGUGGCGUUUUGCAGGUACCGCAUGAAUAAGGACCGGCUAAUUCCGUGCCAGCAGCCGCGGUAAUACGGAAGGUCCGGGCGUUAUCCGGAUUUAUUGGGUUUAAAGGGAGCGCAGGCGGAGGGUCAAGUCAGCCGUAAAAUCGUCCUGCUCAACAGGAUCCCGCGGUUGAAACUGGUCCCCUUGGGUGCACAAGAGGCACGCGGAACUCGUGGUGUAGCGGUGAAAUGCAUAGAUAUCACGAAGAACGCCGAUUGCGAAGGCAGCGUGCUGGGGUGUAACCGACGCUCAUGCUCGAAGGCGCGGGUAUCAAACAGG